GACGAACGCUGGCGGCGUGCUUAACACAUGCAAGUCGAACGAUGAAGCCCAGCUUGCUGGGUGGAUUAGUGGCGAACGGGUGAGUAACACGUGGGCAACCUGCCCCAAACUCUGGGAUAACUCCUCGAAAGAGGUGCUAAUAUCGGAUACGAACUAGACAGACAUCUGUACUAGUUGGAAAGUUUUUCGGUUUGGGAUGGGCCCGCGGCCUAUCAGCUUGUUGGUGAGGUAACGGCUCACCAAGGCUACGACGGGUAACCGGCCUGAGAGGGCGACCGGUCACACUGGGACUGUGACACGGCCCAGACUCCUACGGGAGGCAGCAGUGGGGAAUAUUGCGCAAUGGGCGAAAGCCUGACGCAGCGACGCCGCGUGAGGGAUGAAGGUCUUCGGAUCGUAAACCUCUUUCAGUAGGGACGAAGCGAAAGUGACGGUACCUAAAGAAGAAGCACCGGCUAACUACGUGCCAGCCGCCGCAGUAA
rnacentral:rRNA from 1 species